CGAGCGGUAGAAGAUCUUCGGAUCUUUGAGAGCGGCGCACGGGUGCGGAACACGUGUGCAACCUGCCUUUAUCUGGGGGAUAGCCUUUCGAAAGGAAGAUUAAUACCCCAUAAUAUAUUGAGUGGCAUCACUUAAUAUUGAAAACUCCGGUGGAUAGAGAUGGGCACGCGCAAGAUUAGAUAGUUGGUGAGGUAACGGCUCACCAAGUCAAUGAUCUUUAGGGGGCCUGAGAGGGUGAUCCCCCACACUGGUACUGAGACACGGACCAGACUCCUACGGGAGGCAGCAGUGAGGAAUAUUGGACAAUGGGUGAGAGCCUGAUCCAGCCAUCCCGCGUGAAGGACGACGGCCCUAUGGGUUGUAAACUUCUUUUAUACUGGGAUAAACCUACUUACGUGUAAGUAGCUGAAGGUACAGUAUGAAUAAGCACCGGCUAACUCCGUGCCAGCAGCCGCGGUAAUACGGAGGGUGCAAGCGUUAUCCGGAUUUAUUGGGUUUAAAGGGUCCGUAGGCGGACUCGUAAGUCAGUGGUGAAAUCUCAUAGCUUAACUAUGAAACUGCCAUUGAUACUGCGGGUCUUGAGUAAAGUAGAAGUGGCUGGAAUAAGUAGUGUAGCGGUGAAAUGCAUAGAUAUUACUUAGAACACCAAUUGCGAAGGCAGGUCACUAUGUUUUAACUGACGCUGAUGGACGAAAAGCGUGGGGAGCGAACAGGAUUAGA
rnacentral:rRNA from 1 species